AACAAAACAGCACAGCAGGAGGAGUAAGAUGAGCAUGUAAGGUGUGAGAGGAGCUGCUACUGUACAAACAUGCUUUCUACUUUCUUGUAAAACGGGAGAAACGUACCGAAUGUAGCGGAGAAAAAGUAAAACGAAGUACUGAUACUCGAUAUCGAUAUUUGGAUUGAUCCGUCCACCCCAAGUAUUAAGGAGGAAACCGGAGCACCCGGAGGAAACCCACGCGGACACGGGAAAGACAUGCAAACUCCACACAGAAAGGACCCGGGCUCUUCACCUGGGGAUCAAACCCAGGACCUUCUUGCCGUGAGGCGACAGUGCCAACCACUUAGCCACCAUGCUGUCCCACUUUAGAUGCAAACGUACAAAUAAUAUACACAAUCAGAUCUUUUUGUCUAAUUGAGAUGGGUCUUUGUUUUUGUAUUUUAUAAUUUAUUGUUGGAGCACUCUGUUCCAUGUUGAGUAUAUAAAUAAAGCAAUUUAAAUAAUAAA